UGGUACGUAGUAAGGUAAGAAGCAGUGUUGGAAAAUCUAACAACCUCUGAGAAAUGUAGUAUUAGAGUAUUGAGACUGAUCAAUAGGUGAAAGUUUGAAAAUACAGUAUGCAUGCCAUGGAUACCAAU